AUACGUAGGGGGCGAGCGUUGUCCGGAAUGAUUGGGCGUAAAGGGCGCGUAGGCGGCCCGGUAAGUCUGGAGUGAAAGUCCUGUUUUUAAGAUGGGAAUUGCUUUGGAUACUGUCGGGCUUGAGUGCAGGAGAGGUAAGUGGAAUUCCCAGUGUAGCGGUGAAAUGCGUAGAGAUUGGGAGGAACACCAGUGGCGAAGGCGACUUACUGGACUGUAACUGACGCUGAGGCGCGAAAGUGUGGGGAGCAAACAGGAUUAGAUACCCCGGUAGUCCUGGCAGUAAACGAUGUAUGCUGGGUGUGAGACUAGCGAUAGUUUCGUGCCGAAGUUAACGCGAUAAGCAUACCGCCUGGGGAGUACGGUCGCAAGAUUGAAACUCAAAUGAAUUGACGGGG
rnacentral:rRNA from 1 species